CCCCCUGGCUCUAGUAGUAGAAGAGGUCCGCCAUGAAAUCUCACCAUAAAAUUGUAGUUGCCUUGAUUACGGUGUUAAAAGUUGAAUCUCGCUGGAAUUUUGUGUGCCAUGGAAACGAGGCCCUUAAAAACUCUCGUUAUUUCCAAAUCAAUAUACUUUCCUAAAGAAGAAUCUUGUUCAGUCUCCAAAAAAUAAAUUGUACAGCACAGAGAGAAAAAAAAAUCCAAAAAUUCAAAGACAAAAAAACCAGGGUAAAUCUUGUGCUUAAAUUGGAUUUGAAUAAAGACGAGAAUAAAUUUUUGGAGAUAUCUGUGUUCAGACAUAUAAGAUUCUUCAAGAUGGGAUAUGAUGUAGGCCAUAAUUUGCCAUACCUUUUCUAGUGCUCUGAAAAAAAGUGAACUGAAUUAUACUUCCUUAGUUAAUAUUGUGUGAAUCAUCUUGUAUUCUAUAAACAUUGUUAUUCUAGGUAGCAAUUCAUUUAAAGUUUUUUUCUUUUUUUGUUUGUUUGUUGUACAUAAGACCUCAUGAAAAAGCACGGUUGUAAACAAAUUUUCGAGAUAAAUAUUGUUCAUUUUGCUAGAAAUGUUAUAUGAAAAUGUAUAUUUUAUCAUUUUGCUAUGAGCAAGUGCUAUGUUUUUAGGGAGUGCGGUCAAGUUCAUGUUCCGUGGUGCCCUGUACAGAACGCAUCAACAUAUUUAGUAGUUGAAACCAUAUGAAUUUGUUAAUCCCAUUAAAAGCAUAAUUUUUAAGGCAAUCUUUUUCAGCAGUUUGAUAGAAUCAAACUGAAUAUUUUAAUCAAAUGUUGUCCAUUUCUCUAUGGAAGUCAUAUAGUUUUAGUCCACUAUAAUGGUACUUUUAUGAAUAUAAAAAAAAUAUAUAUGUAUGAUAUGUAUUAAAAUAAAUGCUGACAUCCCAAUCUC
rnacentral:misc_RNA from 1 species